GCCGGGCGUGGUGGUGCGUGCCUGUAGUCCCAGCUACUCUGGAGGCUGAGGUGGGAGGAUCGCUUGAGCCCAGGAGUUCUGGGCUGUAGUGCGCUAUACUGAUCGGGUGUCCGCUCUACGUUUGGCAUCAAUAUGGUGACCUCCUGGGAGCGGGGGACCACCAGGUUGCCUAAGGAGGGGUGAACCAGCCCAGAUCAGAAAUGGAGCAGGUCAAAACUCCCAUGCUGAUCAGUAGUGGGAUCAGCCCUGUGAAUAGCCACUGCACUCCAUCCUGGGCAACAUAGCAAGACCCCAUCUCU
rnacentral:SRP_RNA from 1 species